rnacentral:lncRNA from 1 species
GGCUCCUUCUUUUGGGAUGCUGAUGCAGACACUUAAGGGGCCAGCUAAGGCCAUUGCCUUACAAAAGGAACUUGCCUGACCAUCUCAGCCACUUCCUUUAUUACAGUCUAGCCCUCCCCAGGUGCAGGGCCCCAAGCCAGAUGGACCCUCGCAACCCACAACAGUGUCAAUACCAUCACAGAUGCUUAGUGCUGAGACACACAUUUGUGGAGGCCCUCAAUGAGAGGAUGGAGUGAAAGGUCUUCUGAGCUCUGCGGGUCCCUGGAAGCCAAGCCAAGGUGAAAAGUGGCAGAGGUAGCUCCUUUAAGUUAAGCUCAUAAUUAGCUGAGUGAUUACAACUUUUGGGCGGGGUAGGUGGAUGGGGGGAAUCACCUUUAUGGAGGAGGGGAGUUUUUUCCCACCUCACAAUGGGCAUUGGUGGUGUUUAGCUUUGUGUGUGUAAUGUACAUGUGGGACAAGAAAGAGGGGUCUUGUGGUCUUGAUUGGGGCGGGGAGGACAACCCCAUGAAAUGUUUGGGGAAAAUUGGGGGGGGAGCACUCAAAGAGGAAAGAAACUCCUAGAGACAUAUAAUCAUUGUGUAGGAAGGGACCCCUGAAUGUCACCUAUUCCACCCCUUGUCAGAAAGAACACCCUCAUGUCCAGUUGCAAUCUCCUUUUUUGAAAUUUGAAUCCAUUAGUUCAGCUCCUCCCCUCUAGAGCAAGAGAAAACCAGCUUGUUCCAUCUUCCAUUGUGACACCCCUUUGGAUAGUCAAAGAUGGUUCUCCCAUCACCUCUCAGUCUCCUCUUUGCCAGGGUAAACAUAAAAAAGGUAAAGGGACCCCUGACCAUUAGGUCCAGUCUUGGCCGACUCUGGGGUUGCGGCGCUCAUCUCGCUUUACUGGCCGAGGGAGCCGGUGUGCAGCUUCCAGGUCAUGUGGCCAGCAUGACUAAGCCACUUCUGGCGAACCAGAGCAGCGCACGGAAAUGCCGUUUACCUUCCCGCUAGAGCGGUACCUAUUUAUCUACUUGCACUUUGAUGUGCUUUUGAACUGCUAGGUUGGCAGGAGCAGGGACCGAGCAACGGGAGCUCACCCCGUCAUGGGGAUUCAAACCGCCGACCUUCUGAUCGGCAAGCCCUAGGCUCUGUGGUUUAACCCACAGCGCCACCCACAUCCCAGGCUAAACAUAUCCAUCUCCUAAAACCAGCUUUGCUGGCUGUUGGCUUCUGGGGCUUGUGCCAGGUCACAUUUGACUGGAAAGGUUUCUUUUCCCGGCAAACUGUGCUGUGCUUGUUAGAUAACAGAGCAUUGUUUGCUGGACGGAUUCACAUUCCGAACCGGAAUCUCAUUGCAAAUGCAGGCAAGAGCUCUAGUCAGAACAUCGGAGCAGGAGAUCGCCCCGUUUCCCCAGCAAGCCCUCCUUCCCACUGGAUGCAAGGCAGCAAAUCUUCGCUUGGAAUAACUUGCUCCGGGGCCUUUGCUUAAUGAACUUGCUGGGGAAUUAGGCAGACCAAGCCGGCAUGCUUGCCCCAGCGGGGGAGAGAAAAGCUUGGCUCAGCCGCCUUCCCUUCUCCAUGCUCAAUUAGCAGCAGAAACAGCCAGUGGAGGAGGAGGAGGAGGCACAGCAAAGGCCUCUGCCGUUGCCUGGCGGGGUGCCAAGGAGACAGCCUAGCUGUGGAGAGGCAACAAAUACAGAAUUCAAAUAAUGGAAUUGUACAGCUGGAAGGGACCCACGGGGUCAUCCAGUCCAACCCCCUGCGAUGCAGGAAUCCCAGCCAAAGCAUCCAUGAAAGAUGGCCAUCCAACCUCUUCUAGGAAACCUCCAAGGAAGGAGAGUCUACAAACUCCAGAGGGAGACAGUUCCACUGUCCAACGGCUCUCAGUGUCAGAAACUCUACCCUUCUGCGAUUCAAUGAAAUUGCUUUAAGGAUUUUAAGUCUCUAAGGAUUGGAGAAUCUUUAAAGAAUAUUUAGAAAACUAUGGAAUAAAAGGAAACAUCUUGGCAGAAUUAGACUGAUCCCUGUAUUGUAUAAACAUAAGUUUGUAGGGAGAUAAAAAGAAAUUACAUAAGAAAUAUGUAACUGUGCGGU